GCGGGGCCAAGCCCACCCCGCGCCGACCGGCCCCGGUGCGCCCAGCGGAGCGGAGCGGAGCGCGCGGAGGGAGGAGUUUUCCCAGAAUGGGACUGACGGGAAAACACGGGGAUCCCUAUUCCUGGAGGAAUCCAGCCUGGUGCCUGGGAUAGGGAAGUGCAUGAUAAAUGCUGCAUAAAUGAAAAACAAUUGCUACCGUGGAAGAUAUUGAAAGGAAAGUGCUAUCGAUGCCAAAGUUGUUUCCAAGAGAGGUAUUCCAAAAGUGUUUCAAGCAAUGACUGAGCUAAGCAUCCAGUCCUGCAAGGUGAAGGCGUUGAAGACGCAGCCCUCAUUUGAAUAGAUGAAUUGUGGUAUUCUUGUUAAAUAAUGAAUCAUAUCAAGGCUUGGUCACACCUCAUGCACAUGAAAAGACCAAAACGCAAGGCAGCAUAUCAGCGCCACGUGAAGUACACACUAAGCACCAACUAUUUAAUUCAGCAAUCAUGGGGGGCCCGGUGGCUCACGCCUGUCAUCUUAGCAAUUUGGGAGGCCGAGGCAGGUGGAUCGCUUGAGCCCAGGAGUUCGAGAUCAGCCUGGGCAUCAUGGUGGCCUGCACCUGUAGUCCCAGCUACUCAGGAGGCUGAGGUGGGAGGAUAGUUUGACCCCAGAAAGUUGAGGCUGCAGUGAGCCGUGAAUGCACCACUACACACCAGCCUGGAUGACAGAGCGAAACCCUGUCUCAAAGUAAUUAAUAAUAAUUAUAUUAAUUCAGCAAUCAUUGGAGUGUUUGUUGACUUUGACACCGCACUAAGGGAAGGAGUAGGUCCCUUUCCUCAAGUAGUUCCAGUCUAGGUGAGAAGACAGACAAUUAUGCAAAGUUCAAUGGGAACCCAAGGGAAGGAACAGUGAAAUCCAAUUACAGUGCAUUUGAUCUAGCUCUUGAGGAUAAAUGAGGGUUUGCCAAACUGAGACUGGAAACCCCAUUUAAGACACAUGGAAUAGCACCUACAAAGGUGAGGCAGCCAGUCUGCUGGUGUGUUUAGCGAAGCUAUGUAAACUGGUGUGGCUGGAGAAUAGAGAUGUGGAUAAUAAGAUUGAAGGAAGUGGAUACCAGACUUUGAAGGUCAUUGCGUGCCAUGCUGAAGAGUUAGGCAUCAAAAAAGACACAAGUGUGACUUAAUCAGCAGCACCAUCAAGAAGACCGUCUUGCAACAGUCUUGCAGUUGAACUGGAGACUCGGGGUGCCCUAAAACUCAAGCAGUGGUCCUGAGGUUGAGGAGGAGGGGAAGGAGCUAGGAAACGGUUCAGAUCAUUUGGCUGUGUAGUGAGAGAGAAAACAAAAAUCGCUAACCUUUAACAGCUGAACAAUGGUUGGUGUCAGUAAGUGAGAUAAGAAUUCAGGGCUGGGCACAGUGGCUCAUACCUGUAAUCCCAGCACUUUGGGAGGCUGAGGUGGGUGGAUCACGAGGUCAGGAGUUCCAGACCAGCCUGACCAACAUGGAGAAACCCCAUCUCUACUAAAAAUACAAUAUUAGCUGGGCGUGGUGGUGCAUGCCUGUAAUCCCAGCUACUCGGGAGGCUGAGGCAGGAGAAUCACUUGAACCCAGGAGGUGGAGGUUGCAGUGAGCUGAGAUCACGACAUUGCACUGCAGCCUGGGCAAAAAGAAUGAAACUCCGUCUCAAAAAAAAAAAAAAGAAAGAAAGAAAUUCAAGCAAAAGGGGAGUGGGGUGAGGUCGGAGGGGAAUCCAGCCAGGUUCAGGGGACGGAGAGGAAAGCAGGACAGAGUCCAGAGUAGAAACAGGAAAGCAACCCUAGUGUCACGGUUAGGGUAGACUGCUGACAACGAACUUGGAGAUCUUUAUUCCCUCUAAGUCUUAACUAUCCAAGACCAUCAGUGAUCCAAGCUGGGAAGGUGUGUCUUCAGGAUCUUGACUUUCUGGCCCAUACCCUUAUAGUCUCCUGGAGAGCUCUGGAGCUUUGGGGACCUCAGGCUUGGAGCUGUUGAGGAAUGUCUAGGUUUCCAUUGCACAGAGGUGGAAG
rnacentral:lncRNA from 10 species